UCUGAUUGGCAAACUGCUUCAAAAGUUGGAAACAAUGAAUCACCACUAACUGUUUCUAACAGAUCCUUCAAGUUAAUUAGUCUUCCACAAAACGAUCUACAUUUUAAAUUGUACAGCGAGAAAAAUAACAAAAAUCCUACAAUCUUAUCAGAAUCUAUUGUGUCUCAAUUCAAUCACCUGAAAGCUCUCCACGAUGAUAUAGGUGAAAAAUCCUCCAAGUCUCAUCUCUCUGAAAGUCAGCCUUACCCUUUUAACACAUUUUUAGAGACCAAUGGAGAGAGGGAUGUGGAAAGUUUGUGUUAUCUACUAAAUUCCUCUGGAAGCAAUUUUCAAAAUACUGAUGCCUUUCCUAAUCAUUCAAAUAAACAAGACGAUGAAAUUGAUUUUCGCAUUGGGUUGUAUCGUGACUCUUUAAGGAAUUCCCAAUCUCCCAAAAGCACACGUAUUUCCAAGGAUGAUUUGGACCUAAAUUACAAUGUGAGAAGAAAAGAUCCACAAUCAGAGUUUCAACCUGUUCAACCUCCAAUAUUACUGUGGAAUUCCCCAUCUAAUUCGCCCUCAAAAAUUAUUUUUAACAGCUUUCCCAAGAUUUUUUAUGACAGCCAAAAGGAACAUUCCUCUCAGGAAAGAUUUCUCGGUGAAAAUCCUAAAGUAUUUGCUUUGAGUCCCUCUCUUCAAGUGAUAAAUCCUGUCAUUUUACUCCCCAAUGAUGAUGCUAUUACUUCUGCAAUGAGAAGUCAACUUGAACCUAGUGCAUUUGACCCCUCAGUCGCUUACACCAAAAAGCAGAGGAAGUUGGUCAAGUUCUACCAAAAUUUACUCCCGAAAAAAAGUGACAAAGAGAAAUCAAAAAGUGCCACACCAUGGGAUUAUGCACUCAGUGUUCCUUUGAAUUUAACUCCAAAUCUGAAAGAAACAGCCCUUCCUGGUGUGAGUGCUGCUUUUUUGUUGAAGACUCUCUCAAAAAGUCAGCUUUUAAAAAUACCUCCGUUGACCUAACUGUUUCGUCAGAGGUAAAUAAUGCUAACUUGGGGCACAAAAUCUCUGAGAAGAUAUUCAAGGUGAUAAAUGAAUCUGGAUCAGAAACUAAUCAUAGUCCAAGUACUUUGAAUGCUAUGAAAAGCAACAUGAGUCAGCAGAGUGUUACGCCAGUUCAUUUCCAAGUCACUGCGAAGAUUGAUUGGCCAUACCAAAAAUUAAGCGAAAAAAUUCAGAACACGCCGGUUAUCAUUCAAGUAUUAGUCCAGAACAGAACAGAUCCAACCACGAAUCCACUAUUUGAUCAUAAAUCGAGGGUGAAUUUUCAUAAAGGUAUGAAAAGCAGCCGUAGAAAAGUCCACCCUUGCCUUACAUCAAAUCGCCAUUCUUUUAGACAUCUAAGAAAGAAAUCUGGUCUUCACUCGAGACACUAUCGUUCGAGAGAUUCUGGAAUUGAGAAAUUAUCUCACAGUACAGAAGAAUCUCCUCAUUCCUUAGCAGAACUCAGUCAUGGAAUUUCUAAAUCCGCAGCUCAGCAUGGUGAAAACAAUUUUUCCAGCGGGUCUUUGAGAAGAGAAAAACAAGAUUUCAGUAACUAUCAUCAUUUGAAAGCUGGCCAAUUGAGGCCGGAAGUAUUCCAACAGUCCCUCAAGAAGUCUAUAUCAGCGCAGCCACUUAAUCAUCGUUAUUGGCACUCUGCAAAGGCAAAUUUAAGAUCCACUCCAUCAAAUGGCUCCAGAAAGAUAGUUGGUCAUCUUCAGAGAAAAUUGAAAAACUAUGACUCCGGAAAAAUGUUAAAUAAUCUGUUUGAAUACAGUGACUAUGACCCUUGGAAUUCAACAUCUGCAGAUCUCAUUAACUCUGGCUCGUCUGAACAGCUAAGUCCUGAUUGGUUCAUUUUACCCAAUUCAAGUCCUACUCCGAGGAAAAAUAUAAAUCCUAGAUGGGCCCAAAAACCACAGGAGGAAUCUAUAGUGCCCACAAAAAGCUCAGAGUUUUCUGCAAAAGACUGUAAAUUAGCCUAUGGCAGCAAGUGUGUCUGUGAUAUGAGUAAAGUUUUGACUGAUUAUGAUACCAUAAUUUGUGAUGAAGAGAGCACUGAAGAGGCUAAAUUACGAGCUAUUUUAAAAUACCAAUGCUCAUCAUACUUGCCUUUACCAGCAGGCUAUUAUAUUGACAAAAGUACCAAGUCUUUCCCAAACGACGUAACGGAGCAAAUGGCCCCAGAAAAUGUGAAUGGCUCCAAAGAAAUAGAUGCAGAAGUUUUAAGCCAUUUGCAAAGAGUUGACAUUACUUCAAUAGGCACCUCUCGUUUGCGCUAUGCUUUUGUAGGAUCAAAAGUUGAAAUUCCAUGCUACGAUAAUUUCCAAACGCCCGUGCCAAUCAAAGCAACCGAUAGCAUUCAGUACAAAUGGCAAAAGGGGAAGAAAGUUAUCACUGAGGGCCGAAUGAAAGAAUCUUCCAAUGGUACUCUCACAAUUGACAGUGUUGUUAUGAUGGAUACUGGCAUAUUUUUUUGCAUUAUUUCAUUUAGCAGUCCUGAAAUGAAGAAUCAAGAACGCAUCUUCAAUCACACUCUGUCAGUGGUUACUGUUCCCAAAAUUACAACUCAAGCUGUGAUUCAUUUCAAAACCAACGCAAGAUGCAAGCCUGAGAUCCUUCAGAUGCUUAAUUCAUACUUCCCACAAUUAAUUCAAGAAUCAAUUUGCGAGGCUGGUGAAAAGGAUAACGAGAUUUGCGAAAUUGGUGUUUUCCAUCCUUUUUGUCUUCAAAAUAAAACCGACAAUACCAUCAUAUCGUUGAAUGUUCAAAUGAACGUCCGAAGUAUUGAAGAUUUAAUCAUCCACAGCUAUGCGAACAAAGCUGUCUGUGCUCCUGUAUGUCAUCAGAAACUAUACCUAAAAACAUCAUUAAUACUGAAGGAAAGUCUUCAGGAAGCUCUCCUAACUCCCAUACUAGAUGCAACAUCCAUCUCUGAUAUAGCUCUAACUCCUCUGCCAAGCAGUUUCAAUAUGAAAAUGACUGUCGGUUGUGAUGCUGGAUUUCGUCUAGCCGAAAACUUUGUGGUAAUUCAGUUUUUAUCAUCUUUAACCUUGAAACUGUUUCCUAUAAUGACUAGUUAGACCAGAAAAUUUUAAGAAUAAAAUAGAAAGGAUUGUUUGGGCUAGUGUGAAAAGCCAAUUUAGAGAAUCGAAUAUUGAACAUACAAAAAGGAAUCUAAUGUUUGAACCUCCCAGCUGAGGUGGUAUUAAUACCAAUAGCGCUCACUGUGAAUGAUUGACAAUUUAUUCUGAACACAAGCAAGCAGUGUGAAUUGACUAUCAUCAGAUGAUCUCGCCACUUCCUUGCUGAAAGGGACAGACAGAGUGUCAGGACUGUCAGGCUGGCAUGGUUAUCCACAGACAGGAGAACGGAUUAUUGAGUGCUCUUUUUAAACUGUCAGGAUUGGAACCUUAGUGCCAGCAGUGAACUUCCUAAACCACACCACUACCAAGGUUGAUCUCUCUGAGAAGUCAGCUGAAAAAUUCAGGAAUCAUGG
rnacentral:lncRNA from 1 species